UGCAAACGUUGCUCGGAAUCAUUGGGCGUAAAGCGCACGUAGGCGGUCCGGAAAGUCGGGUGUGAAAUCCCUCGGCUCAACCGAGGAAGUGCAUUCGAAACUUCCGGACUUGAAUAUGGAAGAGGGUCGCGGAAUUCCCGGUGUAGAGGUGAAAUUCGUAGAUAUAGGAAGGAACACCAGUGGCGAAGGCGACCACCUGGACUGAUACUGACACUGAGGUGCGAAAGCGUGGGGAGCAAACAGG
rnacentral:rRNA from 1 species